rnacentral:rRNA from 1 species
AGGGAAUUUUCGGCAAUGGGGGAAACCCUGACCGAGCAACGCCGCGUGAAGGAAGAAGGUUUUCGGAUUGUAAACUUCUGUUAUAAAGGAAGAACGGCGGCUACAGGAAAUGGUAGCCGAGUGACGGUACUUUAUUAGAAAGCCACGGCUAACUACGUGCCAGCAGCCGCGGUAAUACGUAGGUGGCAAGCGUUAUCCGGAAUUAUUGGGCGUAAAGAGGGAGCAGGCGGCAGCAAGGGUCUGUGGUGAAAGCCUGAAGCUUAACUUCGGUAAGCCAUAGAAACCAGGCAGCUAGAGUGCAGGAGAGGAUCGUGGAAUUCCAUGUGUAGCGGUGAAAUGCGUAGAUAUAUGGAGGAACACCAGUGGCGAAGGCGACGAUCUGGCCUGCAACUGACGCUCAGUCCCGAAAGCGUGGGGAGCAAAUA